UACGUAGGGGGCUAGCGUUGCUCGGAAUCACUGGGCGUAAAGGGUGCGUAGGCGGGUCUUUAAGUCAGGGGUGAAAUCCUGGAGCUCAACUCCAGAACUGCCUUUGAUACUGAGGAUCUUGAGUUCGGGAGAGGUGAGUGGAACUGCGAGUGUAGAGGUGAAAUUCGUAGAUAUUCGCAAGAACACCAGUGGCGAAGGCGGCUCACUGGCCCGAUACUGACG
rnacentral:rRNA from 1 species